GAACUGCGCAAAGGACGAGGACAGAGGUAGAAGCGAGUACGACACACAUACUCAUACUCGUUUCUACCUUUGUCCUCGUCCUUUGCGCAGUUCAUUUA
rnacentral:pre_miRNA from 1 species